rnacentral:rRNA from 1 species
GACGAACGCUGGCGGCGUGCUUAACACAUGCAAGUCGAACGGAAAGGCCCUGCUUUUGUGGGGUGCUCGAGUGGCGAACGGGUGAGUAACACGUGAGUAACCUGCCCUUGACUUUGGGAUAACUUCAGGAAACUGGGGCUAAUACCGGAUAGGAGCUCCUGCUGCAUGGUGGGGGUUGGAAAGUUUCGGCGGUUGGGGAUGGACUCGCGGCUUAUCAGCUUGUUGGUGGGGUAGUGGCUUACCAAGGCUUUGACGGGUAGCCGGCCUGAGAGGGUGACCGGCCACAUUGGGACGGAGAUACGGCCCAGACUCCUACGGGAGGCAGGAGUGGGGAAUAUUGCACAAUGGGCGGAAGCAGGAUGCAGCAACGCCGCGUGCGGGAUGACGGCCUUCGGGUUGUAAACCGCUUUCGCCUGUGACGAAGCGUGAGUGACGGUAAUGGGGAAAGAAGCACCGGCUAACUACGU